UACAGAGGGUGCGAGCGUUGUCCGGAAUCACUGGGCGUAAAGGGCGUGUAGGCGGCUGGCUAAGCCGCGUGUGAAAGCCCGGGGCUCAACCCCGGAACGGCACGCGGGACUGGUCGGCUCGAGACUGGUAGAGGCGAGUGGAAUUCCUGGUGUAGCGGUGGAAUGCGUAGAGAUCAGGAAGAACACCGGUGGCGAAGGCGGCUCGCUGGGCCAGUUCUGACGCUGAGGCGCGAAAGCGUGGGGAGCAAACAGG
rnacentral:rRNA from 1 species